rnacentral:lncRNA from 13 species
AUUCAAGAAAAUACAAAUGUUACAUAUGCUACUUAAAAUAAAAAUAUAGUUUGCUUUGGGGAGCAGACAUUGCUAUUAACUAGAAAGAGUCAGGAGGGAACUUUCUGGGAUGCUGAAAAUGUUCUUAACUCUGACUGUGGUGGCAAUAACUACAAUAUAUAUUCCUCAAGUCCCCUGAAACUGUGCAAGAAAGAUCUGAACAUUUCAUUGUACAUCAACUAUGUUUCUCUAUAAAAUAAAUACCAUUAAAGUAAUAGAGAACCCCAAAGACCCAAAAGGUAUUAAAAAAUAGGCAAAAACCAUAAAUGACCAUGGUUGAUCCUAAAAUAAUUUGUUCAACCUCAGUUACAGUAAGAUAAAUGUAAAUUAAAAUUACUUAUAAUAUAUGUUUUUUCACCUUUUAGGUAGUCAAAUUUCUUAAGACUGACUACACAUUUUGCUGUCAAGAUUGGAAAAGUUAAAGAAAAACUUUCAUAUGUUGCUGGAUGGAAUCAUUAGUUCCUCCAACUCUGCUUAAAAUGGGACAACUGAACCUAACAGCUGAAAGCAACUUCUUCAUUGCCAUGGAUGAUAACAGUAUACAUAGGAGAGACGCCUUAUCCAAAUUUGGCACAUCUCUUUCUAGUCAUUGGUGCAGGCUGCACACAAAUCUUUGCCUCAGAGUUUUAUUCCUGGAAUGAAGAAGGAUAGAAAAAAGUGGUUCAUCGCCCAAAAGGCAUAUUUUACAAUUCUCUAUAAAUGGUCAAAGAAAAUGAUGAAAAGAGAAGCACAUUCCUGAGGUCAGAUCAAGGAACCUUGGAGAAUAAUGGAAUGGUGAAGUAGACUCAGGAAGCAGAAUUAGCAUAUAAGAUUCAUUGUAUACCCCAUAGAUAGGAAGACAUGGCAUCAUUUGUCCAUCAGGAUUUUAUAAAGGUCAUGAAUAAAUGGACAUGUGCCUAAUAUGUGUCUCA